rnacentral:lncRNA from 1 species
GGGGGUAGGACGAUCAAUUGUUUUUGCUUCUGUUCUUAAUGCAUUAUUAAUUGCUAGGGGAGGCUAAGGAUAGCAAGCCGGUAAUUUGUAAUAGGCUCUUUUCGCCGAGGGAUCGGGUUAAGGGUAGGCCAAGAAAGUUUGCAUAACAAUUAGAUAAUCAAGCACAUUAAACAAGAGGAGUAGAUAAGAGGGAGCGGAUAAGAUGAAAUUGUCAACCCCCAACAACUCCAUUCAUCCAUAGUCUUUUUCGUCAAUUGAAUCAAAUACAUUGCAUGAUUAUUUUUUGUCUUUGCAUCCACAACAAUUAAUCAUUUUCUGCAAGUCUUACGAUUUUGAUUCACACGAACGAUCCUUUCGAGUCUCUUGGGAAGAACGAUAUCGGGUAUAACCGAUUAUAUUACUUGGACGAUCUAGUACACUUGCCAAUGAGUCAACAGAUGGCUCGGAAGAAAAACCUGGGCAAAACCAGCGAAGGUACUUCUUCUCCAACCGAAUUGGCUAAUACUUCGGCUAUGCUCCCUCCCGCCUGGUGAAUCCAGUCUUGAAGGUGUCUGAAACAGCCACUCCCUCCUCUGACCCCAAGCCGGAUGACCACAAACCAAAAAGAAAACCUGCCCGAGAGAAAACUCCUUCACCUCCAAAGAAACGAAAGUUAAGUUCCCUUUUGCUGACCAGUCCCUUGGAUCCUAAUGUUCACGUUGCCGACCGUUUGCAAUUUAACCUAAGUGCUGAAGAGAAGAAGCC